AACGCGAAGAACCUUACCUGGGCUCGAAAUGUAGUGGAAUCCGGUGGAAACAUCGGCGCCCAGCAAUGGGCCGCUAUAUAGGUGCUGCAUGGCUGUCGUCAGCUCGUGUCGUGAGAUGUUGGGUUAAGUCCCGCAACGAGCGCAACCCUUAUCCCUAGUUGCCAUCGGGUCAAGCCGGGCACUCUAGUGAAACCGCUCAGGAUAACUGGGAGGAAGGUGGGGAUGACGUCAAGUCCUCAUGGCCUUUAUGUCCAGGGCUACACACGUGCUACAAUGGUCGGUACAAACCGUCGCAAACCCGUGAGGGGGAGCUAAUCGGAAAAAGCCGGCCUCAGUUCGGAUUGGAGUCUGCAACCCGACUCCAUGAAGCUGGAAUCGCUAGUAAUCGCGGAUCAGAACGCCGCGGUGAAUACGUUCCCGGGCCUUGUACACACCGCGCCAUA
rnacentral:rRNA from 1 species